AGAAUAAAGCAGGCAAAGGAACGUGGAAGGACUAGACUGCCUGAGUCUUCCAAUCUUCAUCUUUCUCCUGUUUUGGAUGCCUCCUGCCCUCAAACAUCAGACUCCAGGUUCUUCAGCUUUUGGACUCUUGGACCUACCCCCCGAGUGGUUUGCCAGGGGCUCUCAGGCCUUCGGCUACAGACAGAGGGCUGCACUAUCGGCUUUCCUACUUUUGAGGUUUUGGGACUUUCCUGGCUUACUUGCUCCUCAGCUUGCAGACAGCCUGUUGUGGGACGUCACCUUAUGAUCAUGUACAUCAGGGAAAUACACACCCCUCCCAGGGAUGCUGGAAGGUUAAGGUCCUAACGCCUCCUGCACAUCUGAGCAGCUGCACAUUGAACCAGAUAGUCUUGGAAUGUGGGACAACAGAGGCAGACUCAAGAGUCUGGAACUUUAUUUUAGGAUCACACAAAAAGAUACAUGAUUUUCAUAGUAUUGAAAGCACCUCAAAAAUAAAAUCACUAGUAUCUACAGAUCACUAUGAGACUGGACUGGAACAUUACCUUCAGACACAUUGAUAUGACUAUAUGCUGGACAUUUUCUUGCAGAAAUCCAAAAAAAUCCCCAUUUUCUUGCAGAAAUCUAAAAUAAUCUCCUCUAUGUGCAAGUCAGACUGAGCACCACUCCCAAGACUAUGACCUCCCCUGCACCCCUGCUCCUUCCCACUCACCUCUCCUCUUGAGAAAGCCACCUCCCACUACCCAGUCUGCAGUGCCAGAAAACUGGAAACCAGCCCCGAACCUGCUUUCACCUUUGGCCCAUUUCUCACUAGCCAGCCUCUCCCACGGCCUCCCCAGUUUCUUCAAAUACACCCCCUCCACUAUUCACCAUACUGCCACCGUGAUUUACAACUUUUUGUCCGGAUUACCUCAGUAGCCUUCUAAUUGUCCCCUUUGCAUCUAAAGUAGCCCCUCUCAACCCCCAAAUCUUACCACGUCACUCUUCUACAUAAUUCUGGCUUUCCAUGACCCAUAACCACAUUUCUCAAGUGUGCUCUAUGCUGGCUUGAAUAUGUUAAUGAUCUUAAUUCUACUUUUAGUGCAAUUUUCUUAGAGCUGGCAUCACUUUCAUCAUGACGUGAGAACUUACUAGAGAUAGGCAAUGAUGACUCACAGUCAAGCCACAUGUCAUGUGCUGCAGACAUCCGGACUGCUGCUUAUUUGCAAAUCCUUUUCUUCAUAUUUUUCUCAUUUGUAGCACUGGAUCAAUUCCAAUUAAGAGUUUAAUAAUGAAUUAACUAAUGAUUUAAACAGAUUGAUAAGACUAACACUGAACCAAUGAUUUUAAGUAAAUCUAAAUACAUAAAUCUCCCCAAAUUAUUAAUCUAUGUUGUUUACUAAGAAGUGUAUUAAAAUAAUAUUGAAAAAGCUUGCUUUGUGAAAGAGCUAGAAGUUAGAAGGUCUAGGUUCAAAUCCCGCCUCUACUCCAUCCUUGACUAAGAUGUUGGACCCAUCACCUCAACUUGCCUUGGGUCAUUUUGCCCAGACAUCACUUGAUGACACAGAGCUUACCUGGACCUCCACAAUGGUAAAUAGAACAGGGCCAGCAAACCAAAAUUUGUUGAAUCCUUUAGAAUUAAGUAGCUUAGAUAAAUUUUCAUCAAAAUCUUUGUAUAGUAGGGAAUAGAAGAAAGUCUAAUCAAAAAAGUCAAUUCUGUUUUAUUUGAGGAUGCAUGACUAUGUUACCAUUUUUCAGACUCUGAUUUACCUUCCAAUUAUUGUUUAUUUGGGUCACUGUAAAUUAGUUAUCAUUUUUUGAAUACACAUUCACUGCUGACAAAGUGGUGGAGCCAGAAGUUAUGUUUGACCAGGGAAGAUUAUGACCCUCAAAGGAGAAAAAUCCACAGGGGGUAGUUGAUUAUUGGUGGAAUAGAGUGAGAGUGAAUUCCUUAAAAGUUUAAAUGAAAGCAUAACUAUAUUCACAUUGUGGAGGGAACUUCGUUUCUGAUAUGAUGAGCUAUUGCCCCAAGUCAUGACAAUAUCUUGCUCUCUGGAAGAGAAUGAGUUUGUCAUCCGCCAAGAUACACACUUUAUAUUUCCAACCAUCACAUCUGCCUUGCAGGCUGACUGAACCCAGAGCAAAUCAAUCACAAAAGUUAAUCCAAAAGACUUCCCUUCAGCUGCUGGAAAUCAGUUAUCACAUCUGUGAAAAGAGUGCUAGUUAUAACAAAUGAGAUCACAAAUUUGACCAUUAGACACCCUCUAUUAGUGUUAACAGACAAAGAUGAAGGUUAAGUUGAAAUUAAAUUGAAAUCUUCUUCCCUCAGUACUGAUUGCAAUAUCUGAUAAUACCCUCAACUUUCUUGGUGCAAAUCAAUUGCCUGGUACUCAGAGCCCAGUGUUAACAGGCAAUAACUGGUGUGAUUCUAGAGAAGAGGACUAGGUGGCAGGAAAAUAAAUGAGAUUAGCAGUAUUUGACUUGGAGCCAUAGGCAUCAAUUCUGCUCUAGCUGUCAACCAGGUUCUAAGAACAAGACUCAGAGCAGCUUUUGCUCCUGCUAGUGAUGCAGGGCCAGGAGAGCCCCCACACUCUGCAUUUGCAGGUGUCCAUGAGGGGAAGCCACUCCUGCAUUUAUCCUGUGAGUGGAGAAGCUCAGAGGAAUGAGGACAUUCCAAUAGGGUAUCAGAAUUCUCUUUUGUUUAUGCUAAUUAACAGAGCAGGAACAUCACCAUCUUAGACAAACACCAUCAUUUUAAGUUCCCCUUUAUUAAAAAACUGCCUAAAUCCAGCCCCAAAACAUCAGCCUAAUGGCUAUUGUCAGCAUAAUCAGAAACAUUCCAACCCUAAGAUAAACACCCCUCUGGCCAGAAACAUGCCAACUCCGAGACAGCCUCCCCUCCGACCAGAGACAUUCCAAACCCGCGGUAAACUUUCCCUCACAUAGAAACAUUCCAAACCUACAAAAAGCUUCCCCCUUCCUAAACCCUUAAAUAUGCUUAGUCUGUAAGAGAGAAUGCUCCUGACUGAAACCGGCCAGAAGCCCCUCUCAGGUUUAUUCUCCCAAAUAAACCUGUCUUUGACUGUUGAGCCA
rnacentral:lncRNA from 1 species